GAACGCUGGCGGCGUGCCUAAUACAUGCAAGUCGAACGGUCUUUCUAUGGAAGCUUGCUUCCACUGAGAAGAUAGUGGCGAACGGGUGAGUAACGACGUGGGUAACCUGCCCAUAAGAGGGGGGAUAACAUCCGGAAACGGGUGCGUAAUACCGCAUAGUUUUCUUGGUCGCAUGAUCGGGAAAGGAAAGACGGCCUUUGUGCUGUCGCUUAUGGAUGGACCCGCGGCGUAUUAGUUAGUUGGUGAGGUAACGGCUCACCAAGACGAUGAUACGUAGCCGACCUGAGAGGGUGAUCGGCCACAUUGGGACUGAGACACGGCCCAAACUCCUACGGGAGGCAGCAGUAGGGAAUCUUCCGCAAUGGACGAAAGUCUGACGGAGCAACGCCGCGUGAGUGAAAGAAGGUUUUCGGAUCGUAAAACUCUGUUGUCAGAGAAGAACAAGUUGGAGAGUAACUGCUCCAGCCUUGACGGUAUCUGACCAGAAAGCCACGGCUAACUACGUGCCAGCCGCGGC
rnacentral:rRNA from 1 species